rnacentral:lncRNA from 1 species
GAGGAACAAGCAACUGUACAAAUUCGAUCCCUGAGGAUUUGACCUUACUUUCCUUAUACUAUUAUUUUUAUCAUAUUUUUUUCGGAUAAGAUAUUAUUGGUGCUCUCAACGACCGCAUUGUCUAACCCAUAUUCGUCGUCAGAAAGGGUUAUAGAGCAUUACUAGGAUUUAUAGAUCAAAGACAGAUAUUUCAUGUCACUUAGCAUUCACACCAUAAAUCAAUCAUAUUGUACUUUAUAUGAGCCCUUGAGGCUCAAAAUAUGUAUUAGUAAUAAGUCGGGACUAAACUGGGUACUUAGACAAUUUUUCGCGAAACUUCAAAAAUUUCUUAAGUGCAGGGGACACAUGCCUGUAUGGUCAAGCCAUGUGGCUCACAAGACGAAGUGACACGCCCAUGUUGAAAUAGGGCACACGGCAGUGUAUUAGCUCGUUUUAGUACCCAUGUAACUCUCUGGCUUGGGUCACACGGCCAAGCCACACGCCGAUGUGUCAGGCCGUGUGAUCAACUCUUAGCAUUCUCUUUUAAAAUUUUGAAGAUGCAAGGGACACACGACCAAACCACAAACCUAUAUGCUAGGUUGUGUGUUACACAUGGCUGAGACACACGCCCGUGUUUCUACCCGUGUCGAUGAAAAUAAGCCAUUUUCAAGGCCACAUUUCUCACUCAAUUUGUCUUCCACCUACAUUAACACUUAAACACAUUCACCAACCAACUCAAGACAUUCAAAUCAAGCCAAAAUCAUGCCUUAAACAUAACAUAUUACCACACACAACCAAUGUGCUCUUAGGCACCUCAAAUGAAAAUUUAUUACCAUGUCAACUUAGUGUUCAUAUUUACCUAAAUAACCAAAUGCAUAUAUGUAUAAUCAAUAUUAAUACUUUUAACAUGAUAAAUACACUUAUAUAUACAUCAAAACAUAUCAAAAUAAGCCAUUCAAAUGGCUAUUAUCAAUCAAAUAUUUACAUGCCAACAUUUUGGCUAAUUAACCUAUACAUGCCAUUAUAACCAAAAUGAGUUUACCAUUUAUACCGAAAUGAGCCGAUGGAUAGUGUGAUGAUGCUCCUACCAACCUCCAACCUUUACGAGCUUCCUAGUACUAUAGAACAGGGAAAAUAAAACAGAGUAAGCAUAUAAUGCUUAGUAAGUCUGUAUAAUAGAAAUUAAUUUACCAUUCAUUUACAUUUAAAGGAAGCAUGAAAAAUUCAUCCAAAGAAAUUUGGCAAUUUUCCUAAACACAUAUAAUCUUAAGAAACAUUUUAGUCAUGUAAUUUAUGUGAAUAUCAAAAAACAAGGAUGAGCUCAUCAUGUAACAAAUUUUCAUUUACAUGUUUUUCCACAUCAUAUAUUCAUAUAACAUCUACAUUUUCAUAAUAUUUUAUCUCAAAUUCAGAUUAUCACAUGUCGGAAACUUUGCCCGUUAAAUUUAUUAGAAAUAUCGAUGGAUACACAGGUAGUACACUUGAAGCGUACAAACUGUAACCCGUCAAUUCAUAUUUGAGAGAGCUCCUUAAAGCACAUAAUCGGGAAGCCCUCUCUCAAGCCAUAUAACAGAAAACCCAUUUGAGUUGUAUAACAGGAAGCUUAGCUGGGCUAUAUAACGAGAAGCUCAUAAGAGCCAUAAUCGGGAAGCUCAUGGGAGCCAAUAACCGGUAGCUCCAAAGAGCCAUUAAUCGGGAAGCUCCAAAUAGCCAUGUAUCGAGAAGUUCAAGCGAGCCAUAUCAGGAAGGUCCUGAGAUUCAUUAAUUAGGAAGCUCACAAAAAGCCUUUAAUUGGAAAACUCACGAAAAGCCAUAUAACGAGAUGCUCAUAAGAGUUGUGUGUCUACAACACAUACAGAAUCACAACCAAUCGGGAUGCUCUGAAGAGCUAUUAACGGAGAGCUUGCAAGAACCUUAUAACGAGAAGGUUGAGACGACUAAUAACGGGAUGCUCUUUCAAGCUGUGGAAUGUCUGCAACAUAUGCAGGACCACAACUAAUUUGGGAAUCUUGUAUCCAUUGAAUUUCAUUUAUUCAAAUAGGACUUAACAUUUAUCAAACUUUGUCAGAUAUGUAAUCAAUUUCAUAUACAUGGCAAUUACACAAUUCAUAUAUAUUAUACAAAAUUCAAUUUCAAACAUAUAAAUGUACACAAUUUAAUUACACGAACUUACCGCGACAAGUGUUCGUGAAUUGUAAUAUACUAAUCUGAUAUUUUUUUCUUUUCCUCAAUCCAAUUCCGUAUUUGGUCUAUCCGGAUCUAAUUGAGCAAAAUAACUAGCUUGAACUCAACACUAAAAAACUAGGGUUUCCAUGUUUUUGUUUUAGGAAAAAUGAUAAUAUGAUGAUAUUUUAUGUUAUUUUAUUAUUUAUCAUCUUUUCAUCUUUUUUCUUUCCAAUUUAGUCAUUUUCUUUAUUUUAUUUUCCAUGGAUGAUUAAGCAUACUUAUCUACUAACUCCUUUUAAUAGUCUAUUUGUCAUAUAAAGACCACCAAUUUUGAAUUCCAUAGCUAUUUGAUACUUAUAGCUACUAGAACUCAACUUUUGCAUUUUAUGCAAUUUGGUCCUUUAUCAAAGUAGACAUGUAAUCGGUAAAAUUUUCUUAACGAAAUUUUUAUACGACAUUUCUAUCAUAAUGCAGAUCAUGCAAUAAUAUUAAAAUAAUUUUUCUUAUGGACUCAGAUUUGUGGUCUCAAAACCACUGUUCUAUUUCAUUAAAAAUAGGCUAUUACAAAAAUGGUUAGAGUUAAUGGCUUUCCAACAAUUUUUUUCCAAAAAUUCUGGCAUAUUAUUUGAGUGGAUGUGAGCCAUUUUAGCUUGGAUAUAUUGAAUAGAGGUAUGUCGAUGGACUCUCUUAAUGUUACCAACAUAAUUAUUUUAACAGAAACUAUUUAGCCUUUGAAUUUGGCAAAUUUUAGAUUAAUAAGUCUUUGCAUGGUGUAUACAAAAUUACUUUUAAAACGAUUGCAAAUGAAUUUCAACAAGUUUUAAAUUGCUGCAUUUAUGAGGCUCAAAACACUUUUGUUCCAUGCCAAUUGAUCACAGAUAAUAUUUUGCUCGCUUAUGAAAUUCUUAAUUCGUUUAAGCAAAAAAGAACGAAAGGAAAAUGUUCAAUAGCGCUUAAGCUAGAUAUGAGUAAAGCUUAUAAUCAUGUUGAAUGGUCGUUUUUAUUACGUAUGCUGUUACAAAUGGACUUUGCAAUUUCUUGGGUGGAGCUUAUUAUGAGAUGUAUCUACUCUGUCUCAUAUCCUGUAGUGAUUAAUGGGAAAGUGGGACAGAGAUUCCAACCAAUAAGAGGAUUAAAGAAAGGGGACCCUUUAAGUCCCUAUUUAUUUCUAAUAUAUAGUGAAAACCUUUCUGCUCUUAUGCGAUUUGCUAGGCAAGAGGGUUGAUUGAAAGGUGCUAGAAUUUGUCGAAGGAGUCCAAAAAUAUCUCAUUUAUUGUUCGCAGACGAUUGUAUUCUAUUUGAUGAAGCUUCAAAAAAGGGGCAGAUGUUUUAAAAGCAAUUCUAAAAGAAUAUGAUGAGGUGUCCGGACAAUGUGUGGAUUAUGAAAUAUCAACAGUGUUUUACAGUUUGAAUAUGUUUAAUCAGGUUAAGGGGUUGGUGGCGUAGGUUUCGAAUGUGUGUAAUUCUAAAAAUCUGAAAAGAUAUUUGGGUCUUCCUAACAUGGUUGGACAAAAGAAGAAAAUAACUUUUCAAAUACUGAAAGAUCGAAUGAAAAUUAAGAUUAAUAGUUGGAGCACAAAGUUUUUGUCACAAGGAGGAAAAGAGAUUUUUAUAAAAUUUGUGCUACAAGCGAUCCCAACGUACACGAUGUCAUGUUUCUUACUACCAAAAACACUUUGCAAUGAAUUAGAGAGUAUUAUUAUGAAUUUUUUGUGCAAAAAAGGCAUGGGAAGAGGGGCAUCAAUUGGAGUGAGUAGAGGAAUUUAUGCGAACUUAAGGAGAAUAAGGGUAUCGGAUUUUGUUGUUUAGCAAAAUUUAAUUUAUCAUUACUUGUAAAACAAAGUUGGAGGUUAAUUAUUUAUCUGAAUUCUUUGCUUACUUGCACGUUAAAAGCUAAACAUUAUCCAACGACAAACUUUUUAAAAGCAAGUUUGGGGAAUAUACCUUCAUUUACUUAGAAGAGUGUUUGGGCAACCAAAGGCUUCCUUCAAGGUGGGCUGUGCUGGUGUGUAGGUACCGAAAAUUCAAGUUAAAGGAGAUGCACGGGUGUUGGGAUUUGAGGAUUACAGAUUAAAAAAUAGUGAUAUUAUUUCAAAUAAUAUGAUGGUGGCAACUUUAAUAAAUGAUUCUUCAAGAAAAUAGAAAGAGGGACUAUUAAGGAUACCUUCUCUAAGUCGGAUGCCAACAAAACUCUUAAUAUCCCUAUAUCAAAAGUUCUACAUGAGGAUUUCUAGGUCUAGAAAGAUGAGGCUUCAGGGGACUUUUUAGUUCGUAGUGUUUACAAGCUUUUGAUGCAAUAAUUAAAUAUGGCUAAUCAAUUUUACAACAAGACAUAUUUCAGGGAAUUUUACAAGAAACUAUGAGGAGUCAAUCUGUAACAGCCCAGUUUUAGCUAAAUUGGAACAAUGAUUUUGGAACCACAAAUAUAAGGUUGUAAAAUUAUUUUAAAAUUAUUUUUGGUAUUUAUAGCAUGUGAAUAUAUAUGUUUGAAAAUUUCGUGAGUUAAUUUUCUCAUUUAAUAACUUAAUUUGAGAAAAAAGACUAAAUCGCGUAAAAUAUAAAAGUAGCAUGUUGUAAGUUAAAAGUGCUUAAUUGCUAUGGUUCAUUAAACCAUAGGUCCUUAUGAUGUUAUUAUGCCAUUGAUAAGGUUAAUGGAUAUUAAUGGCGUUAUAGUUGAUGAAUAAAUAGUUUAUUAAAUAAAGGUAAAAUGGUUAAUAUUACAUAAAACAAAAGCUAAAAUCAUUUUAUUUCCUUCAUCUUCCAACCGAAUAUCAAAGGAAAAGAAAGGGUUUUGAAGCUUUUAAAUUUUCAGCACUCGCAUAGCUUGAUUAAGCUAUGAUUUUUUAAUCGAUUUUUUUUAUGAUUUUUACGUUUUUGUGAUUGUUGCUUUAAGUACUAACUAGCCCAUGUCUCAAUUUUUGAAAGUGUUGAUGAUUUUGUGAAAUGCCAUUGAUAAGUGCUUGAGCUCUUGAAUGUUUGAUGAUGGAAAAUGAGUAUUUGUUGAUAGGUUAUCUUGUUUUGUAAGGUGAUUUUUAGUGAAAUUGCAUAAAAAAGGAUUAAUUUGAGAAAAUGUAAAAUGUUGUGGUUAAAAGUAUGAAAUAAAUAAAAAUAUGGGCUGUUAUGAAGCUAUAGGGAAUUCGGCUAAGCCUGGACCAUAUUGAAUUUUGUGAAUUUUGUAUAUUUAUGAAAUAGGGACAAAAUUAUAAUACUAUGAAACUUUAGGGGAUAAAGUGUAAAAAUGCCCAAAUAUGUGUUUGUGGAUUAAAUUGAAUGUGUUGAUGAAUAAAAGAGUUAAUUUUGAAUGUAUAUAGAUCAAGAACGAAAGAAAUCGUAUUUAGAUCGGGGAAAAUCGAAGGUUAUCGAAUAGUUGAUUCCGUCCGUUUAUUCUGAACACGAGGUAAGUUCAUAUGCAAAUAAAUGUCUUUGAAUUGAAUUAUAUAUGUUUUAUUAUCAUUGAAUUGCUACGAAUGUCAAAAGAUCAAAUACGAGCAAGUAUCGACGAAGUUACGACAUCCAAAAGUCUCGUACGAACCUUAGGAAUAAUAUAGAAUACAAAUGUCAUGACAUUAAGUUAUCGAGAUGUGAUUACAUGUAAAACCAUGUCUGGGACAUUGACAUUGUAUUGUAAUAUGUGUAAAACCAUGUCUAGGACAUUGGCAUCAUUAUUCGAUUUCGUGUAAGACCCAGUUUAAGAUAGAGGCGUCAAUAGGGGUGUUACUCAAUUUCCCCUCAAAGUUAAAUAUUAUAGUAUGGAGCUGCUUCAUGAAUUUUAUUCCUAUGCUAAGUAAUUCACAAUAUAGAAGAUUAACAACAAAUGCCCUCUGUACUAUUUGUGCGGAUGAGGUGGAGUCCAAAGAACAUAUCUUCCGGGAAUGUUUAGUGACAACAAUUUUGGCAAGAAUUAAAUUGUAAGUGGCCAAACUUAAUUGAAAAUAUGGAUUUUUUUAGUUGGGUUACCUGAUUGUUUGAGAAUAAUUCCUAGAAUCAGUGCUGUAUUUUUGUUUGUAGUUUACGGGCGAUAUGGACAACAAGAAAUAGAUGGGUACAUGAAAGCAAAAAGAUAACGAUGUUAGAAACUGCAGAUUUCGUAAGAAAUUACUUGAGCGAAUUGGAUGGGCUAAAAAUUGUUUUACCUGUCAAGUCGAGAGUGGAAGAGAGGUAGAAACCACCGGAGAGCCCCUUUGUGAAAAUUAACUUUGAUGAUGCAUUUAAAAAGGAUGAGCACAGGUUUUGUUCUGGGAUUGUUGGAAGGGACUCGUAAAGGAAGGUAUUGGGGUCUAGAGUUGUUCAAAAUGUGUGGGUUCCUUCAGUUUUUGCUGCAGGGACUAUUGCAUGUGCUCAAGGGCUUCAAAUGUGGUUGGAUCUAGGGGUCAUGGCAGUAGAGGUCGAGAGUGAUGCUUUAUCAGUAAUAAGAAAAAACUACAAAAGGAUGAGGAUGAUAAAUUGGAGAUCAGUGCUAUCAUUAGAGACUAUCUUUGGCUAAGUAAAGCUUUUUAGAUGUGCAAGUUCUUACAUGGCAAAAGGGCAGAGAAUGAAGCUGCCAAUCUACUAGCGACAAAGGGCUAAGAAAUGGAGAACAAAAGGAUGAAAAAUGGAGGAGUACUUGGUUACGCCGUGGAGAUGGUGGAAAGAGGUCGUCUGAGGAAUGGGAAAAUCUGCUAAUAGGUGUUGUUCUAUUUUUUGUCUUGCUGAAACUUGGGGAAGAGGAAAGAGUUUCAAAAAGAGGAAGGAUUGUAGGAUUUAAAAGCUGUGAGAAUUUGUGAGAUAUUUUAACUAGUGUUAUCUCAGGAGUCGUGUUUAUCUUUAAUGUUGCUGAUGGCAAUAAGUUUCUAGAACAAACUCCUAUCUUUUGUUGGGUUUGGGCCGAUCUUUAGGAUUGGCCACUUUGUAUUUUGGAUUUUUUGAUUUG